UCCCUUUCUCAAAAGUUACAUUUGAGAGCCAUGAUUAAGGAAAUUAAAACUGAAGCAGUAGUGAAAGUUGGGAUUGAAGCCUUGUGGAAAGCUUUGGUAAAAGAUGUGAGAUUUGUGGCACCAAAACUCAUCCUACUGGUCAAGAAUGUACAAGUGUUAGAAGGAGAUGGUGGCCUUAGCACAGUCUUGCUCUCCAAUUUUGGCUCUGAUAUACCAAAGAUAAGUUCUUCCUAGGAGAAGAUUGUGGAGCUUCAUGAAUCUGUGCAUAAAAUUGGGCUGCAAGUCAUAGAAGGGGGCCAUUUGAAUCUUGGGUUUUCUUCAUACAAAACAACUUUCCAACUUACUGCAAUUCGGGAGCAGCGCAGCCUGUCAUGAUCACCUUUGAGUCUGAAGUGGAGGAUAGUGGCA